GACGAACGCUGGCGGCGUGCUUAACACAUGCAAGUCGAACGGAAAGGCCCUGCUUUUGUGGGGUGCUCGAGUGGCGAACGGGUGAGUAACACGUGAGUAACCUGCCCUUGACUUUGGGAUAACUUCAGGAAACUGGGGCUAAUACCGGAUAGGAGCUCCUGCUGCAUGGUGGGGGUUGGAAAGUUUCGGCGGUUGGGGAUGGACUCGCGGCUUAUCAGCUUGUUGGUGGGGUAGUGGCUUACCAAGGCUUUGACGGGUAGCCGGCCUGAGAGGGUGACCGGCCACAUUGGGACUGAGAUACGGCCCAGACUCCUACGGGAGGCAGCAGUGGGGAAUAUUGCACAAUGGGCGGAGGCCUGAUGCAGCAACGCCGCGUGCGGGAUGACGGCCUUCGGGUUGUAAACCGCUUUCGCCUGUGACGAAGCGUGAGUGACGGUAAUGGGUAAAGAAGCACCGGCUAACUACGCG
rnacentral:rRNA from 1 species